GGCUCUUUGUCUAAAAAAAAUAAAGAGUCCUGCCUGCUCAAUGAUUAAUCUAUUAAAUAGCCGCGGUACCCUAACCGUGCAAAGGUAGCAUAAUCACUUGUCUCCUAAUUAGUGACUAGUAUGAAUGGCCUCAUGAAAAUAAAGCUGUCUCUAAAUUAAUUUAUUGAAUUUACCCAUUAAGUGAAAAGGCUUAAAUGAAUCUACAAGACAAAAAGACCCUGUCGAGCUUUAAGUUAUCUUAGUAAAUAAAUAAACUUUCUUAACUUUUACUACUUUUAGUUGGGGCGACUAUGGAACAACCAAAACUUCCAUUCACUUCAAUUAUACCCGCCAGUAAUGACCCAGGAAUUCACUCCUGAUCACAGGAAAAAGCUACCGCAGGGAUAACAGCGUUAUUCUCUUUGUGAGACCAUAUUUAAAAGGGAGUUUGCGACCUCGAUGUUGGAUUAAGAUAUCCUAAAAAUGCAAAAAUUUUUAAGGGUUGGUUUGUUCAACCAUUAAAAUCUUACA
rnacentral:rRNA from 1 species